UUUAGGGAGACCAUCUGACUGUAGACCGAACCUAAACUAUAGGUCAAAGUCAGUCAUCCCUGGUCGUUCGAGAUAGUCAUGUCAAAGCUUUCAAACUAUUAACUGGUUUGGUAAAUGGGCUAUUAGCUCAGUUGGUUAGAGCGCACCCCUGAUAAGGGUGAGGUCCCUGGUUUAAAUCCAGGAUGGCCCACCUGAACAUUAAAGAUGUGUAAUUAAACACGACAAGUAUUUAGUUACAACUUUUUAAUCACAAGUGGGGGUAUAGCUCAGUUGGUAGAGCGCCUGCCUUGCACGCAGGAAGUCAGCGGUUCGAGUCCGCUUACCUCCACUCUCACUCACUGACUCAUACUGGCUCAACCAAAAACAGUAAUUAACUACACACCAUUAACUGAGAAUACAGAAAUCAGCACCUAGAUUAGCUAAAAGCUCAUCAGAAUGCUGGAGUCUAGACUCUAGUCAGAACCUUGAAAACUGCAUAGAAAUUAAGUCAUCAAAGCAGGUAAGUCUUCCGAGCAAUCGGAAUAUCUGAUCAGACCAUCAAAAAAAGAAAGU
rnacentral:tRNA from 1 species